UUAUAAAAUAUUGAGAAUAUUUUGCUAAUAAAAUCAAGAGAUACAUUUUACUUAUUUUUUUAAAGGAAACCAGUGCAAUUAUCAGCCUUAAUUUGAGAAACAAAUUAAGCUGAUAAAAUUGAGGAAAGAUGGCUUCAUGUUUAUUUUAAGAAAAUUGACUCAAUUAUGUGGAUUUGAUUGAGAUGUUUGCAGUUGAAUCUCAACAAUGGCAGUGACCUGAUGACAUUUUGAAGGAGCAGAUCAACAGUGAGCAUGAUAAGAGAUUAAUGAAAAAAAUGUUUACUGUAUUUUCCUACAAAAGAGGAGCAGUUUAUGGGUGCUAUACAGCAGAGGAAGAGCUCAUUCAGGAGUGCAAAUGUGGGAAUGCACAGAGAAUUGCUGUCUGCAAGAGGGAUGACCAACCAUGAGGACUUCUGCAUUGUAUUGGAUGAUGAGUGAGUCAUGGCUGGCUUGGAAAAUCUAGAAUUGCUGAACUGGAUUUAUACAAGUAUUCCCCAAAUUAAAAUCACCUUAAAACAAACUUAUAAGUUUCUGACACAAAAUCAAUGUUACAAACUUUUGGGGAAUUUUCACUACAUUGACUGAUUGUGUUGCUAUUAUUUUAAGAUACAGCUUUUAUACUGGUUUUAUAUGUUGUGCAAUUCUCUCAGAGUUUGUCUAAAAUGUGAAUAUUCCUACAAAAGAAAGUUGACAGAGCAUUUUUUUCCUUGACAUGGAUAAAGGACUUUUUUUCAGAGCUUAACAUUGCUGUAAAUUUUAAAUAGAUAUGUUUUAACAAAUUGUAUGUACCAUUUUGUUAUCAGUGGAACAUGUAAUAAAAUAUAUUUGUCAAAAAAUG
rnacentral:lncRNA from 1 species